rnacentral:rRNA from 1 species
UACGAAGGGGGCUAGCGUUGUUCGGAAUUACUGGGCGUAAAGCGCGCGCAGGCGGUCUUCCAAGUCAGUGGUGAAAGCCCGGAGCUCAACUCCGGAACUGCCAUUGAAACUGUUAGACUUGAGUAUGAGAGAGGUGAGUGGAAUUCCCAGUGUAGAGGUGAAAUUCGUAGAUAUUCGCAAGAACACCAGUGGCGAAGGCGCUCAGUGGCCCGGUACUGACGCUGAGGUGCGAAAGCGUGGGGAGCAAACAGG